rnacentral:lncRNA from 1 species
GUGAAUGUCGAGAACCCAUCUCGAUUGUUGCUUGAAAUGUGAGGGGUUCGUUACUUUAAUUCUAGCCUUCUAGGGCGCCUUAUCUCAAGAUAUUUAUUUGGUCAUAACCGACAUCUGAGCAUAGAAAUUAAGGUCUAAUGUUAUUUUCUGGAUGCUGAACUUUUGCAUUGGUUUCUGGUGUUUAAAUUUUUCUCGGAAUCAUAAAGAAAUGAACAAAUAAUAAGGAUUUGAAUAGUGAAAUUAUUAGAAUUCAGAAAACACUUUGUCAAUAAGUAAAACACUGUAAAAAUGAUGUCUUGUUCUUUUAUUGCAUGAAAUCUGAAAGUUAAUGUUAGAAUCUGUUAUAUCACGCUCUAUGUGAAUUCUCUGUAUACAUCACUUUUCAGAAAAGAUAUAUUUGAGCAUGAGAAUAGAAUGGUCAGACGUGCGUUUGGUGCAGUAUGUGGUAAGGAAUAAUAUGAUAUGAGUUCUGUUUCUGCUGGAUAAUUGAUUUUCUGCAUAUUGAAUGAAUUCACCAAGUAGGAUUCAUCAAAUUAGCCUGAAAAUUAUGUGCUGUCAUUCGGAAAAGAUCUUUUGGUCAAAGGCUACAUUCUAGAUGUCAAUACAUAUACUGUUAUGAUUCAAGGGUUUUGUAGCCAUGGAUUGUUUGACGAAUCAUUGGCUUUGCUGUCAAAAAUGGAAGUAAAUGGUUGCAUUCCAGACGCCGUUACUUAUGAUAGGUAG